GGCCUCGUAGCUCAACUGGUAGAGCAUGCGCGUACAAAGCGCAGUCAGUGUCCAUGCGUGGGUUCGAAUCCCACCGAAGCUA
rfam:Echinostoma caproni strain Egypt genome assembly, scaffold: ECPE_scaffold0028909